GGAUGGGAUCAUACCAGCACUAAAGCACCGGAUCCCAACAGAACUCCGAAGUUAAGCGUGCAUGAGCGAUAGUAGUACAAGGAUGGGUGACCUCCUAGGAAGUCCUCGUGUUGCAUUCC
rnacentral:rRNA from 1 species